ensembl:lncRNA
UUCUUAGCUGCGAUUCCUAGGAUUCUAGAAUUAACUCGUGCUUUUCCUUGCGAACACCGUCAUCAUUGCUUCACAUAUAGUGGGAAGACUAUGGUGGGUGGCCCCACCCACACCCACACCCACACCACAUCCCGCAGUGAUACAACCAGGCCCGUGGUCCACGCCCUUCAGACUCUCGCGGUCUCCGCCCUGGCUCGUCGCGCUAGGCCCCUGCAGCUGGGGCUCUCCACUGCCUCCAUGGGCGUGCCUUCUUCAGAAGUCUUGGGUUGUAGUCCAGUCUCAACCUCUAACCGGAGCCUCUCGCCUCUAAUGCGCAGAGAGGGGAAUGACGCCAGGCACCUUCACCCACAUCCUGGAGUGGCAGAUGGGGGUUACCAGUCACUUUGAUGCCAAAAUCAUAUUGGAUAACAGAGUACAUCAUGAGAAACACUGGACUGGAAGAAACACAAGCUGGAAUCAAGAUUGCUGGGAGAAAUAUUAAUAACCUCAGAUAUGCAGAUGACAACACCCUUAUGGCAGAAAGUGAAGAGGAAGUAAAAAGCCUCUUGAUGAAAGUGAAAGAGGAGAGUGAAAAUUGGCUUAAAACUCAACAU